UACGGAGGGGGCUAGCGUUAUUCGGAAUUACUGGGCGUAAAGCGCACGUAGGCGGAUUGGACAGUCAGAGGUGAAAUCCCAGAGCUCAACUUUGGAACUGCCUUUGAAACUCCCAGUCUUGAGGUCGAGAGAGGUGAGUGGAAUUCCGAGUGUAGAGGUGAAAUGCGUAGAGAUUCGGAGGAACACCGGUGGCGAAGGCGGCUCACUGGCCCGUAACUGACGCUCAGGCGCGAUAGCGUGGGGAUCAAACAGG
rnacentral:rRNA from 1 species